GGUUAAGCGACUAAGCGUACACGGUGGAUGCCCUGGCAGUCAGAGGCGAUGAAGGACGUGCUAAUCUGCGAUAAGCGUCGGUAAGGUGAUAUGAACCGUUAUAACCGGCGAUUUCCGAAUGGGGAAACCCAGUGUGAUUCGUCACACUAUCAUUAACUGAAUCCAUAGGUUAAUGAGGCGAACCGGGGGAACUGAAACAUCUAAGUACCCCGAGGAAAAGAAAUCAACCGAGAUUCCCCCAGUAGCGGCGAGCGAACGGGGAGCAGCCCAGAGCCUGAAUCAGUGUGUGUGUUAGUGGAAGCGUCUGGAAAGGCGUGCGAUACAGGGUGACAGCCCCGUACACAAAAAUGCACAUACUGUGAGCUCGAUGAGUAGGGCGGGACACGUGGUAUCCUGUCUGAAUAUGGGGGGACCAUCCUCCAAGGCUAAAUACUCCUGACUGACCGAUAGUGAACCAGUACCGUGAGGGAAAGGCGAAAAGAACCCCGGCGAGGGGAGUGAAAAAGAACCUGAAACCGUGUACGUACAAGCAGUGGGAGCACGCUUAGGCGUGUGACUGCGUACCUUUUGUAUAAUGGGUCAGCGACUUAUAUUCUGUAGCAAGGUUAACCGAAUAGGGGAG
rnacentral:rRNA from 1 species